UUUGCGCCUUGCUCUUUGUCGUGCCUGUUUCAGUUUCAGUAGUUAAAUGCUCUUUGCAUUUUGCGGUCGUCUUUUUCGGAAAUACGCGACGUAGUUGGCAAGCAACAAAUACAAUAAAAAAAAAAAGAAAGAAAAGAAUAAUAAUUCAACGGCUCGGCAACGCAAAGCAACAGCAAAAAUUAUAAAAUAUUUUACGCCUGCUGUUGUUGGUGUCAGUUUGAGUUGAGUCUUCUAUGAAGUAAAGAAACGGUGAACGAAAGAACAACAACAAAUAGAAAAGUGAGAGCAGACGUAUUUUUUUUUAUUGUUAAGCGAAAAAGUGUUGGUGUGUGUCGAGAGUAAGAUAGAGAGGGCGUGAGAUACACACAUCCAAAAAAAAAAAAAAAAGGAGGAACA